GCUCAGGGUAUUCCGAUAAGAUCUGAAAAUGUUCUGGCUGCGCCUUGCUCUUAUUUUUCUAGCCCUUUGGCUUGUACUUGUCUCUGGCAGCUCCGAAGAAUAUGUACACUUGGACCCAAAGAUUCAGAAGCAAAAGAAGAUGCUGAAGGAACGCAGAGCAAUCUGCUUUAAAGGCCCGUCCUAUGGCAGUUGUAAAGGGAAA